CUACAAUGGCGUAUACAACGGGAAGCGAAAUGGUGACAUGGAGCAAAUCUCACAAAGUACGUCUCAGUUCGGAUUGAAGUCUGCAACUCGACUUCAUGAAGUCGGAAUCGCUAGUAAUCGCGGAUCAGCAUACCGCGGUGAAUACGUUCUCGGGCCUU
rnacentral:rRNA from 1 species